rnacentral:lncRNA from 1 species
UUUUGUUUAUUUUCUUUGGUUACAUCUUCUGACAUCAGACUCGGGCUUCUCUUGAACUGAAUUUUAAUGUGCGUAUUGUUAUGCGUUUACUUUUCUACAUUGGUUAGAGGUAUAGGGGGAGGGUUGAGAUCUCACAAACAUGUUUAACCCCGCCGCAUUUUUGCGCCUGUCCCAAGUCAGGAGCCUCUGGCCUUUGUUAGUCUUGUAUUAUUUUAAUUUUAGUUUCUUG